UACAGAGGUCUCAAGCGUUGUUCGGAUUCAUUGGGCGUAAAGGGUGCGUAGGUGGCGCUGUAAGUCGGGUGUGAAAUUUCGGGAGCUUAACUCCGAAACUGCAUUCGAUACUGCGGUGCUUGAGGACUGGAGAGGAGACUGGAAUUCAUGGUGUAGCAGUGAAAUGCGUAGAGAUCAUGAGGAAGACCAGUGGCGAAGGCGGGUCUCUGGACAGUUCCUGACACUGAGGCACGAAGGCCAGGGGAGCAAACGGG
rnacentral:rRNA from 1 species